rnacentral:lncRNA from 1 species
UUUUUUUUGUUUGUUUGGUUGGUUGGUUUUUUUUUUUUUUAACCUCAAAAUCUCUAUUUCUCACCAAGCUAAUGAAAACCAUAUGCUAUUGCUCUAAUUCUAAUCAAAAAUAAAAUAUGGUUUUUGUGUCUUUGGUCUUAUUGAAGAGACAUUACUGAGCUAUCCUUAAUCUUGUAUUCUAGAGAUUCAGAAUGAAAAUCCAAGCCUCAUCAGGACAGGUGGCAACUAACGGAGUCUUCCCUGAAUUCUUAGUUUUAAUGAUAUUUUAAAUUCUGUAGGUACCCCAGGCAGAGAAGGAUAAAAAACAAGCACAGUACUGAUGGUGUAUGAGUUAAUGGGAGGAUAACUGAUAAAAUUAAACCUCUGCAACCCGCUGAGCAAACCCAAACUUGCGAAGCUACUAGAACAUUAAUGAGUAAGAGAUCUUAAUUAAAUUGUUUGUAAUUAACUCUCCCAAGAGUAAAAAGUGUAAAAGUAUCGCAACCUAAAUACCUGUGGCACUUACUUGCAAUAGACGAAGUAAUUACCACGCAAAGGAUAUGCAUAGAUACCUAUCAAAUAUACAUGUGCAUCAUAUAUAUCAAUGCCAUACCAACCACCAAGAUUUCCUUGCUCUUGAAAUUCUUCUGAGAAGGCAGUUUUAGAAUAUUGAUAUUAAUAUCUACCUGCUAUUUAAUGAAAAUGAUAUAUUCUGUCUUAGCUGUAACCACUCUAAGUCGUAAAAUGAACUCAGGAUUUUCAAUGAAAGGCAUAACAUAUUCUUUCAAAAUUUUAAUGAGAAUUAGAUCAUGUGUAUAUUCUAAGACAAAUUUGCACAUCAGAAGAGCUAGUUAGGAAGGGGUCAAUGAGCAGCAAGUUUACUGAGGAGUCAAAAGUCAUCUCUGGAUUUUUUUAGAGGGUCAAGGCAACCAUUCUAGUAUCAAUUGGACAGUCCCAACUCUAGGGCAGCCUGGCAUGACAAUGAGCCCAUUGGACCAUAACCCCCUGAGCCAACCAUACUUACAACACACCUGUGUCAUGAGUGGCUAAUUCAUGGGCUCAGGCAUUGCACUAGAGGCUGAGAUGAAAAAAGGCAAAAGAUACAGCCCUUGGUCUAAACACCUUGCAAUCCAAUAGAGUUAUGGCUUGGAAAGGGAAAAGUUUUGACCAAAUGAAUUCAAUUUCUUAGAGCUUAUUUUCAUUUCUGUAUUUUUUACAUGUUCCUUUAGAAACGGCAUUGAUUAUUACAUGAAAACAUCUAAAUUAUGAUGAAUUAAAGUAGUAUAUAUGAGUAUAUUCUGUGGGAUUUGCAAUUUGCCAUUAUCAACAAUUAAUACCCCCAUUCAUGUCUUCAGUGCAUUUGUACUUAGACCUAGUUGUGAUAAUUCAUUUUAUGAACUUGACUGGGCCAUGGAGUACCCAGGUAUUUGAUGAAACAUUGCUUCUGGGUGUGUCUGUGAGGGUGUUUCAAGAUAAGACUGAAUCAGCAGAGCAAAUAAAAUAGUUUGCCCUCCCUGUGGGCCUCAUCUAGUCCAUUAAGGGCCCAACUAGAAUAAAAGGCCGUAACAGAGAAUUCUUUUUGACUGUCUUUGGGCUGGGAUAUCAGUCCCGCCUUUGGACUCAGAUUCAAACUGGAACUUACCACCACUGGCCUUCCUGGUUCUCAGGCCUUCAGACUCAGACUGGAAUAUGCCAUCAGCUCUCCUGGGUCUGAACUUGGCUUUCAUAAUUGCAUGAGCCAGUUCCUAAUUACUGUAAAUAUAUCUUUCAGGCCGUUGUCUGACUUUUGGUCUUACAACUUCUUUGUUUUGACAUAGUAAGUUAAACAUUUUUCUGUAAUGCCCCUCAAUUUCUCAAGACUUUCUCAUAGCAUCUAUAGAAUCGAACAAAGCAAUUCAGCUACUUUUCUAAUGACUUCUCUAACUUCUCUUCCUGUACUUUUCUUUUCCCCAAAGAUCUGCCAUGUAAUUGUUUUUGUUUUUGCAAAUGUUACCAUGAUAAAAUAUAUAUACACAUGCAAGUCACAAGUGUGUUCACACGCAAAAAUUUUUGAGUGAACACACUUGUGUAAAAAGCACCCAGAUCAAGGAAAACAAAAACAAAAGCAAAACAAGCCAGAAGCCUCUUGGGUCCCUUACCCCUGUUAAAAGUAACCACUCUCCUGAUUUCUAAAAGUACAGAUAACUUUGCCUGUUUCUGAACUUCAUAUAGAUGUACUCAUAGAGUACAUCUUUGAGUUUGGUCUCUUCUACCCAGUGCUAUACUUGUGACAUUCAGCCACGCUUCUUGUGGUAAUUGUCUGUUACAGUAACUCUCAUUACUGUAUAACAUUCCCUUGAAUAAAUAAAUCACAAUUCAUUUCUCCAUUUACUGCUGAUCUCCUUUUGGGUUGAUUCCAUUUUCGGCUGUCAUGUAUUACGAACAUUCUUGUAGGUGUCUUUGUGAAUGCACAUACCCAUUGUUUGUGGAUAACUGUCUAGGAGUGGAAUUGCUGGUUGUAAUAAGAUACUUUUUUUUGUCUUUUCUUUUGACAUGCUUUCCUUCACGAGUUUCAUCUACAAUAUUCUUGGAUGAUCCUCUAAACAUGAAUAACUUGCUAUUUAAUUUUCCCACCCCUCUGCUCUCUUAAGCACCAGAAAAAUUAUACAUUGUUCACUAAAAAAAGUCCAAGUUCAAAGUCUUUGACUAUCACCUCCCUCCCUAUCACUCCCUCUCUUGCUACACCCCCAGGCAAAGGAGGGUUACCUCCUGCUGAGUUUAGACUCUGAUAUCUACCGGGUCUGCUACCUCUGGGACCACAUAUGAAACAUGAAGAUUAAUUUUGUCUAUUUAAUAGCUUAAGGCCUAGAAAGAAAAAAAUUUUUUUCAGAAUAAGACACCCCUAUCCCCUCUUUCUGGAAGGCCCUACCCUGCUUCCUCUCUGGGUUUCUAAGAUUGGAAGGGUUUAAAGAUAGAAUGGAAUGCCUCCAUAGCAGGAAAAGUUCCAACGCUGGCCUCACCACACCAGCUGCACGAGAGGCAGCUCUAAGAUGGAGACAAUUCAAAGAGGAAAUGGUCCUUGCAUGCGGAAGAGAGAACACCAGCCACCCCGCUCCUCCCUAGUGCCUUUACCCUCAACCUCUGGGUCUGCUGACGAUUUGUACCAUAUCAGGGCCCCUCCUCGGGCACAGAAGGAGGGGAGGGAAAGUCAAGUUUCGCAUGGGCCACUAACCCUCAUCCACAAUGUCAUAUUUCUUAUCCAGAAUGCCUGCAACUUAGCAAGGCUAAAACCAAACGCUUAUCUUUUCUCCAAACCAAAUCCGCUUUCAGGUUUCUCAGUUUCUAUCAGCUGUAACAUCACAAUCACGCAGCUCAAAAACCUGAGAAACCAUCUCAGAUUCCUUUCCUUUAUCUCGUUGGUCAAUGAUCAUUUUCGAUUCUUCUUCAAAACUGUCUAUUCUUCUUCAAAAUGCCUUUUAUGGCCAUACCAGCUUUUUUUUUCUUACCUUCCAGAUGAAUUAUUACCAAGCUUCAGUGACUAUCUUCCUGACCCUGUCUACUGGCCCAUCCAGCUUGGCCACCACCUUAACAUGGAGCUUUCUAGCACAGUGACAUCCUGACAUUCCCCAUCCGACUACCAGCCUCCAAAAUCUCCCCUACAGCAACAGGAAAUACUGUGGACUAAUGGACUUUUGAACUGAUAGCAAACAAUUAUAAUUUACAUAAUGAAAUAACUUUUAAAAAAAAGUAUAAGUAGGGUACCGUUGAAUGAUGAAGUCUAGAAGAGUCAAGACUAGGAAAACUUAAACCAUUUCAGAAUCCAGGUUUAUCAGCACACAUUAGAGAAGAUUUUCCAUGGAAUGUUGGAGCUGGCGGCUCACUGGCAGGUUGCUGAGAGGUGAGGGAAGAGGAACUAUCUUGUGGGAAGCUGAAUGCAGGCUUGUGUAGGACACAUUGGUAGUGGGUUUUGAAUCAUGCAUGGAAGCCUGCAUUUUCCUUCAUGAGAAACCCAAGAUGGACCAUCUAUCACUGCAUAUCUUCUAGUAGCACUUGAACCAGAGCACCUGACCAAAUUUCUCCAUGCUCGAAAUAGGUCAGUCUAGUUCCCCAUUCUGUCCUUAUCAUUUACGUCCAAAGCUAACACAGGUGACCUGGCCACCAACCCACUCACUCCUCCAAUUUGUCUUGUUCUAGUUCAAAGGCUCCAGUUUCCACCUUAACACUUCUCCUCUUCUCCAUUCCUAUUCCACAGUCUACCAUGUAUGUAAGCAUAUAUAGAAGAUUCCACUGGAAAUUCUGAAAGCAAUGACAAAGCAGACUUGGCUUGAUUAAUCCCUCUUCAAUCCAUCUUCUUGUAAACAUUUGGUGAGUACCUACUAUGUACCAAACACAUUUCCUACUAUGUGCUGAAAACAUUACUAUGGGUUUUUGCAAAGGCCAAAAGUAAAAGUCAUGAUUCCUAUCUUCAAGGAACUUACUCCCUCUAUGGAGAUUUGGGACAAUCUCUCUUUUUUUUCCCCUUCCUCUCGCAACUCACCCACACUCACACAUAUGUGCACACAUACGCAUACACAAGACAAUAAUACUGGGGGUAAGUAAUAAUUUCAUAUGGUCUGUUUUUUAUUGUACCUUGUAUUAUAGGGUCAAGUGAGUGGUAGGAUGUUCUGAAUCUAAAGGACCUCAUUAGCCUCAGGCUUCUGCAGGUAGAGUCACCCUUUUGGGUAAUUCAGACAACCUGAGGACCACCAGAGCAAGAUGGAAGUGGAGAGAGAUUGGAACAGUUAAUAGAAGUGCCAAAGGAGGCCACCAGCAAGUUCAGUCCUCUCUCCCCACGCACUUUGUUUAUAGAGCUGAUGUCCUAAGGUGUGCUCUGAAUGGCAUAGAUUGGUGAUGUGGCCUCCACUUUCUCCAGAAGCCUUGCUCUUCCAGAUACCCAUCCUGUCACUGGUUUACCAGCAUACAGUAACUAGACCAGGUGAUGUCUUAUUCAUGGCUGCUUUUAGGAGAUAUUGAAUGAGAGUCCUUGGGAGGAUGCUAGAGAAUUCCUGAAGCAUGAAAAUGGUGGGCUAAGGCAAUAAAUAUCUGGGAGCUUGCUGAUGUGUGAAGGGGUCCUGUUAACCCCUUUCAUCUUUAUUUGGGCUUCCUAAGAGGUUCAUGGUCUGGAACUGGACACUCUGCAUGGGCUCAGACUUGGAUCUCCAUGGAUACAGUUUCAGCUACAAAACAUGCAAAUAAGCAGCUAUAAGUGGUGGGUGCCUUACACCACCAUCUCCAUCUCAGUUCUGGAAACACUACAGCAGAGACUGGAAGAAAGGGAGAGGUUUUCCUCAUUUUCUUUGCUACCUAAUAGAUGGGAAGGUAGGAUGUAUUUCUUGUUUAAUGGCAGCACAUUAUUCUAUUCUCCUAUCAAGAAGUGAGGUAUGGGAGUUCCCGUCGUGGCUCAGUGGUUAACAAAUCCCACUAGGAACCACGAGGUUGCGGGUUUGAUCCCUGGCCUUGCUCAACAGGUUAGGGAUCUGGCAUUGCCGUGAGCUGUGGUAUAGGUCGCAGACGCGGCUCAGAUCCCACGUUGCUGUGGCUCUGGCGUAGGAUGGCAGCUACAGCUCCGAUUGGACCCCCAGCCUGAGAAUCUCCAUAUGUCAUGGAAUCGGCCCAAGAAAUGGCAAAAAGACAAAACAACAACAAAAAAGUGAGGUAUGGAGUUCCUGUUGUUGCUCAGUGGGUUAAAGAUCUGACAUAGUGUCCGUGAGGAUGCGGGUUUGAUUCCUGGCCAUGCUCAGUGGGUCCAACAUUGCUGUGGCUGUGGUGUAGGCUGGCAGCUGCCACUCCUAUUCUAUCCCUAGCCUGGGAACUUCCAUAUGCUGCAGGUGCAGCCAUUAAAAAAAAAAUAAGAAGGAGGUGAGGUCUUUGAAGCCUCCUCUGGAAUCUGGGUGGGCCUCUGUGACUGCUUUGACCCAUAGACCAUGGUGGAUAUGAUAUUUGCAGCUUUCAAGGUUAAGUCAUCAAAGGCCAUGCAACUUCUACCUGGCUUUCUUGAGACACUUAUUCUGGGGUGCGUGUAACCUGCUCCACUGUGCUCUGAUGCUAUAUGAAAGGACUUAAGCUAUCAGCCCCAGCUGAGUGCCCCUUUCCAGUUAUCCUCACCAAGGCACCAGAGGUGUGUGUGAGGACGUCCUGGCUCCUUCAGACCAGCCAUUUCGCCAGCAGAGAAUGACUUACAGACCUUGGAAAAUAUCAGGAGGAAAAAAACAAUCACCCAGGGAAGCCUGCCUGAAUUCCUGAACUGUAGACCCCAUGAGAUGUAGUGAAAUGCAAUUUGUAUUAACUUCUGUGUUUUGGGAUAGUUUGCUAUGCAGCAAUACUAAUGAGAAUGAAAGAGUAUACAACUCUGGGAAUACAUGUCCAAGCCCCACUGAAAGAGAUUUGGGGGCAAAAAGCAAUGGUUGUUUAUAAGUUGAUGUUGCUGAGUGGAGGACCAGAGAGAUAAAACUACUUCCUCAUUGGCUUUUAAGACGUUAAUGUUGCCACGACCCUCACACUCUUAACUCCCCUUUGGUACAGUAACAAGGAUCUAAGACACUUAAGUCCUUGUGCUCUUGCUAAGAGGCUGUAUUAGUUUGCUAGGGCUGCCAUAACAAAGUUCCACAAACUGGAUGUCUCAACUGAAAUGUAUCGUCUUACAGUUCUGGAAGCUAGGAAUCCAAGAUCAAGAUGCCAGCAGGGUUGAUUCCUUUGAAAAUCCAAAGGAAAAUCUGUUGCAUGCGUCUCCUCCAGCUCCUGGUGGUUUGCUGGCCAUCUUUGACAUUCCUGGGCUUCUAGCAGCAUCACUGUAACCUCAGCCUUCAUCUUCACACGGGGUUCUUCCUGUAUCCAAAUUUCUCUUUAUAAGACACAGUCAUUGAAUCGGAGCCCAUCUCAAUAAUCAAUAAUUGUCCUAGCCAAUGACAUCUUCAAGGUCACAUUUAGAGGAUCUAGGGGUUAGACCAUCAACAUAUGAACUUGUUGGGCGAGGGGACACAAAUGAACCCACCACAUAGGCUUUUGAAAUCUUCACUAUUAGGGAAAAUAGUAAUACCUUUACUACCACUUAAAAGAGAUGCCUCAAGAGUUAAAGAAAUAGGUUAACAGGGGGGCCAAGGAUUGGGUGCCGAUGCUUAAAUCUCCAGCUCUGGACUGAGCCCUGCGGCAUGUGAGGUGUGUGGUGCAAGGUCCCACAUGCCAGGUGCUCGGCUGCUGUGCCUGCAUAAGGAUGUGGGCCGAGUGGGAGUCUCAGUGGCAUUUCGUGAGGGGAUUUUUUUGGGCUGGUGUUUCUGUGUGGCGUGGGAUGCAGUGCAUUGAUGUUAUUUUCACUUCCUACAUGAGCAAUAGCAGGUGCACAGUCAUGGAGAACUUCAACCCUUCUUGUCUGCUUCGGGGGUUUGUGUGUGGUCAGGUCAUUGGGUUUAAAAGCAAUGCACUGAACACAAGGGGGCACAAAGCAGCAAAGAAUUCAACCCAGGCAACUUCCCUCACCCUGUUCAGCUGAGGGCUGGGCAAGCCAUAAUGAAAAAGGGGCAGUUGCUUCCACAUAGAGGUCCUGAGACAAGUGUCUCCAUGUCCAGGAGACAGAGAUGCCUGCCUAAAUUCUUCAUUUACCGCCGCUGCCAUCCUUCCUCUGUCACAUCCAGUGGACACUUGACCCAUUGCCCCACGGUGCCCAGAAGCAGUUGCACACAGAAGUGGAGUGUCUGUGACAGCCCUGCCUGGGUGGGAGUUGGGGGCAGAGUUCUGACUUACUCUCAUGGAAACUGAGUCUCUGGAGUCUGUUUAGGUCCUUGUAUUCAAAGCUGGUCU